GUUAUUUUUAGUUAUAUAUUAAGCAAAUACUUCUGAUUUUAACGGAUAUAUGAUGAGUUACGGAACGAAUACAUAUCAGAUAACUAAGAGCAUAUCACAAAUACCACCAAAAUCGAGGAUAUUCAUUCCCUAACUCAUCCCUAGUAUACAUAACAAACAUUUUGGAAAAAAUAAGGGUAAACGAGAUCGUUGAAUGACUAGGGUUCAAGGUUUUUCACUAUAAUCUUAAUUUUAUU
rnacentral:sRNA from 1 species